rnacentral:rRNA from 1 species
AGUCGAGCGGUAGCACAAGAGAGCUUGCUCUCUGGGUGACGAGCGGCGGACGGGUGAGUAAUGUCUGGGAAACUGCCUGAUGGAGGGGGAUAACUACUGGAAACGGUAGCUAAUACCGCAUGACGUCUUCGGGCCAAAGUGGGGGACCUUCGGGCCUCACGCCAUCAGAUGUGCCCAGAUGGGAUUAGCUAGUAGGUGGGGUAAUGGCUCACCUAGGCGACGAUCUCUAGCUGGUCUGAGAGGAUGACCAGCCACACUGGAACUGAGACACGGUCCAGACUCCUACGGGAGGCAGCAGUGGGGAAUAUUGCACAAUGGGCGCAAGCCUGAUGCAGCCAUGCCGCGUGUAUGAAGAAGGCCUUCGGGUUGUAAAGUACUUUCAGCGAGGAGGAAGGCAUUAAGGUUAAUAACCUUGGUGAUUGACGUUACUCGCAGAAGAAGCACCGGCUAACUCCGUGCCAGCAGCCGCGGUAAUACGGAGGGUGCAAGCGUUAAUCGGAAUUACUGGGCGUAAAGCGCACGCAGGCGGUUGAUUAAGUCAGAUGUGAAAUCCCCGAGCUUAACUUGGGAACUGCAUUUGAAACUGGUCAGCUAGAGUCUUGUAGAGGGGGGGUAGAAUUCCAGGUGUAGCGGUGAAAUGCGUAGAGAUCUGGAGGAAUACCGGGUGGCGACGCGGCCCCCUGGACAAAGACUGACGCUCAGUGCGAAAGCGUGGGGAGCAAACAGGACUAGAUACCCUGGUAGUCACGCUGUAACGAUGUCGACU